AGAGGAGAGUGUAACUCCUCACCGGUCACCCGGGCCCCACCCUACCCGCAGUCCCUGGGAGCCGCGCGUCCCCGCCGGCCGGGGCAGAUGAGGCGAACGGGUAGGGCCGGUUGGGCGACUAUUACCCAGGCCGCUGAGCCUCUGCCUCUUAGCCCCAGGGGCGGGCGGGGCCGCGACUGGAACCGAAUCUAGAGUAACUCGGGAGGCAAGGAUAGAAGUCCUGGAAUUUGAAGACAGAAAAUGAGAAUUCCAAGCGGCGUUCUCGGUGGCUGUGAGGAGCAGCACCAAACCCUCCUGCAGAUGCAGUUGGCACCACUGCGGUGCCCGAGCGGAUCAAAGGGAGACCUGCGGGCAGAGAGUAAAUCAGAAGCCAGGGGACCCGAAGGAAGGGCCGAGGGCCCCCAACACUCCAGGACCACCAACAAGGCCUGCACCUUUCCCAAAAAUGUUCAGCAAGAUGAGUUCAGGAUGCAGGUGUCAGGCCUGAGGUCACCUCACCACUUGCUGCUUCUCCAAUAACUCAGUAGUGCCAGACGGGCCUUGCCAACAGCCUCCAGGAUGGCAGCGACUCACAGGGGACUAGGUCUUAGCUGGCGCUGAGUUAAGCCCUCUACGCCCUUUAAUCUACUUCUGUAAACUCAGACCCUUGUGAUUCCACUGAAUGGGAUGACCCAGGAUGACAUCCCAUUGAAAGUCUGCUGAUGGGCAAUCAUAAUUCUAUCUACAACCUUAACGCCCCUUGGCCAUGUAAGGUAACACAUUCACAUGCUCCAAGGAUUAGGACGUGGACAUCUUUGGUGGUGGGAGGGGCAUGAUCCUGCGGACUACACCCUUCCCGGCAAAGUCUGGAGAGCAGAACAAGAGAGAAGCAGGGACCCAGGCAUCGAAAGUCUCAGCUGCCUUCUGCACAGAGCCAGAAACCCACGUCCCCCACAGCCAGGCCACAGAAGCACCCCAGACACCCUGGGCAUCGGAACUAGUCCUGUUUUUGCUCGGCUUUAGCUCUGUUCUCACACGGCAGCCAGGAUAGAGAACGUCCCAGCCAACAGCCCACCAGGGUUUGGCCUAAAAGAGGCCUGGACAGGUCUAGGCAGGGAAGUGUGAUUCUGACUUGGCAAGGAAGGACCUUGUCACAGAGUUUCAGCUGGACCUUUUAGAAAAGGUAAAAUCUGAGACUUCCUUGGUGGCUCAGUGGUAAAGAAUCCACCUGCCAGUGCAGGAGAUGUGGGUUCAGUCCCUGAUCCAGGAAGACCUUAGUUGCCUCGGAGCAACUAAGCCCAGGUGCCCCAACUACUGAAGCCCGUGUGCUCGAGAGCCCGUGCUCCCCAACAAGAGAGGCUGCCACAGUGAAGCCCCUGCCCCAUAACUAGAGAGUAGCCCCAGCUCACAACUGAAGAAAGGCCUGCGCAGCAAUGAGGACCCGGCACAGUCAAAAAUAAACAAGUUACUAUUUUUUUAAAAAAGAAAAGGUAAAAUCUCGCCAGGUACCAAAGAUCUGUGUGUGUGUCAAGAGCAUUCCAGGCCCAGGGACUCACAGAAGCAAAGAAGCAAAGAAGCAAAGACAUGCAAGUCUGGAAUGCCGACUCUUCCGGUGGGGGUCCUAACACCUGGUGUUGUCUGUUGAGGACUUUUAAUAUUGGAGAAGGAGCUUUCCUGCAGAGAAAAGCUACCUACUGCUGCUUGUAUUUAAAUGAAUAUUGUAUUUAUUAAACUUAUAAAUUAAAAGAACUAGCUUUUCUUAAGCAUCCAAAUGCAACUUGCAAAUCUAGUUUUCUAUUUAUAAAUCUAAUUUUUGUAUUAAAAUAAGAAUAAUUACUUUCACUUAGUCUUUGAUGAAUAUUUAAUUAACUCACAGGUUCAACAGAUUAAAUUCUAAAAAUGAAUGCCAAUUACAAACAUAGGUAAUUAAAUUCCCUAAUAGAUUUUAAACUACAUUUUACAGAGUUGAAAUAGCUGGUCCUCUCAAAUGCCUCAAACUCAGCCUAAGAGACUCACACAUCUAACAAGCAUAUUUUUUCUUUUUUGUUCUUUUUUUCUUUACAAACAAGGAGGGAGUAGAGGGUAAAGAGGCCUUCAUCCCCCA
ensembl:lncRNA